ACGGAUGGAGUAAUGUCUGGGAAAUGCUGAUGGAGGGGGAUACUACUGAAGCGGUAGCUUUACCGCAAACGUCUUCGGACCAAAGUGGGGACGUUCGGGCCUCACGCCAUCAGAUGUGCCCAGAUGGGAUUAGCUAGUAGGUGGGUAAUGGCUCACCUAGGCGACGAUCCCUAGUUGGUGGAGAGGAUGACCAACCACACUGGAACUGAGACACGGUCCAGACUCUACGGGAGGCAGCAGUGGGGAAUAUUGCACAAUGGGCGCAAGCCUGAUGCAGCCAUGCCGCGUGUGUGAAGAAGGCCUUCGGGUUGUAAAGCACUUUCAGCGAGGAGGAAGGGUAGUGUGUUAAUAGCACAUUGCAUUGACGUUACUCGCAGAAGAAGCACCGGCUAACUCCGUGCCAGCAGCCGCGGUAAUACGGAGGGUGCAAGCGUUAAUUGGAAUUACUGGGCGUAAAGCGCACGCAGGCGGUUUGUUAAGUCAGAUGUGAAAUCCCCGCGCUUAACGUGGGAACUGCAUUUGAAACUGGCAAGCUAGAGUCUUGUAGAGGGGGGUAGAAUUCCAGGUGUAGCGGUGAAAUGCGUAGAGAUCUGGAGGAAUACCGGUGGCGAAGGCGGCCCCCUGGACAAAGACUGACGCUCAGGUGCGAAAGCGUGGGGAGCAAACAGG
rnacentral:rRNA from 1 species